rnacentral:rRNA from 1 species
UUAAUUCGAUGCAACGCGAAAACCUUACCUACCCUUGACAUGGUCCCGGGAAUCCUGCAGAGAUGCGGGAGUGACCGAAAGGGAAUCGGAACACAGGUGCUGCAUGGCUGUCGUCAGCUCGUGUCGUGAGAUGUUGGGUUAAGUCCCGCAACGAGCGCAACCCUUAUCAUUAGUUGCUACGCAAGGGCACUCUAAUGAGACUGCCGGUGACAAACCGGAGGAAGUGGGGAUGACGUCAAGUCCUCAUGGCCCUUAUGGGUAGGGCUUCACACGUCAUACAAUGGUCGGUACAGAGGGUUGCCAAGCCGCGAGGUGGAGCCAAUCCCAGAAAGCCGAUCGUAGUCCGGAUUGUUCUCUGCAACUCGAGAGCAUGAAGUCGGAAUCGCUAGUAAUCGCGGAUCAGCAUGUCGCGGUGAAUACGUUCCCGGGUCUU